rnacentral:rRNA from 1 species
AUUGAACGCUGGCGGCAUGCCUUACACAUGCCAGUCGAACGGCAGCACGGGUGCUUGCACCUGGUGGCGAGUGGCGAACGGGUGAGUAAUACAUCGGAACAUGUCCUGUAGUGGGGGAUAGCCCGGCGAAAGCCGGAUUAAUACCGCAUACGAUCUACGGAUGAAAGCGGGGGCCCUUCGGGCCUCGCGCUAUAGGGUUGGCCGAUGGCUGAUUAGCUAGUUGGUGGGGUAAAGGCCUACCAAGGCGACGAUCAGUAGCUGGUCUGAGAGGACGACCAGCCACACUGGGACUGAGACACGGCCCAGACUCCUACGGGAGGCAGCAGUGGGGAAUUUUGGACAAUGGGCGAAAGCCUGAUCCAGCAAUGCCGCGUGUGUGAAGAAGGCCUUCGGGUUGUAAAGCACUUUUGGCCGGGAAGAAAUCCUUGGCCCUAAUACGGUCGGGGGAUGACGGUACCGGAAGAAUAAGCACCGGCUAACUACGUG